GGAGGAAAAGAAACCAACAGGGAUUGCCCCAGUAACGGCGAGUGAAGCGGCAACAGCCCAAAUUUGAAAUCUGGCCUCCGCCUAGGGGGUCCGAGUUGUAAUUUGCAGAGGAUGCUUUGGGCGCCGGCGCCUUCCGAGUUCCCUGGAACGGGACGCCAUCGAGGGUGAGAGCCCCGUACGGUCGGAUGCCGAGCCCGCGUAAAGCUCCCUCGACGAGUCGAGUAGUUUGGGAAUGCUGCUCUAAACGGGAGGUAAAUCUCUCCUAAGGCUAAAUACCGGCCAGAGACCGAUAGCGCACAAGUAGAGUGAUCGAAAGAUGAAAAGUACUUUGAAAAGAGGGUCAAACAGCACGUGAAAUUGUUGAAAGGGAAGCGUUUGCGGCCAGACUUUACCCCGGGGCGGGUCAGGCGGCGUUCUCUCACGCCGGCGCGCUCUGUCCCGGGAUAGGCCAGCAUGGGCUCUGGCGGGGGGAGAAAAGCGGCGGGAAAGUAGCCCUCCCUUCUGGGGCGGGGUGUUAUAGCCCGCGGCACAAUACCUCCGCCGGGGCCGAGGACCGCGCCGCAGCAGCGGCAAGGAUGCUGGCGUAAUGGCCGUCAACGACCCGUCUUGAAACACGGACCAAGGAGUCGAACAGCCGCGCGAGUGUACGGGUGUCAAACCCUCGCGCGCAAUGAAGGUGAACGAAGGUGAGAGGCCCUCCGCCGGGGGGGACGCAUCAUCGACCGAUCCGGAUGUCUUCGGAAGGAUUCGAGUAUGAGCGCGGCUGUUCGGACCCGAAAGAUGGUGAACUAUGCGUGGAUAGGGUGAAGCCAGAGGAAACUCUGGUGGAGGCUCGCAGCGGUUCUGACGUGCAAAUCGAUCGUCAAAUCUGCGCAU
rnacentral:rRNA from 1 species